UUGAGAGCAGGAAUAGGGUCCCCGAUGGAGU
rnacentral:piRNA from 1 species